AACGCUGGCGGCAUGCCUUACACAUGCAAGUCGAACGGCAGCAUGGAAGAGCUUGCUCUUCUGAUGGCGAGUGGCGAACGGGUGAGUAAAGCAUCGGAACGUACCGUGUAGUGGGGGAUAACGUAGCGAAAGUUACGCUAAUACCGCAUACGAUCUAAGGAUGAAAGUGGGGGAUCGCAAGACCUCAUGCUCGUGGAGCGGCCGAUAUCUGAUUAGCUAGUUGGUGGGGUAAAAGCCUACCAAGGCGACGAUCAGUAGCUGGUCUGAGAGGACGACCAGCCACACUGGGACUGAGACACGGCCCCAGACUCCUACGGGAGGCAGCAGUGGGGAAUUUUGGACAAUGGACGCAAGUCUGAUCCAGCAAUGCCGCGUGCAGGACGAAGGCCUUCGGGUUGUAAACUGCUUUUGUACAGAACGAAAAGGCUCUGGUUAAUACCUGGGGCUCAUGACGGUACUGUAAGAAUAAGCACCGGCUAACUACGUG
rnacentral:rRNA from 1 species